ACGGAAGGCAGCAGUGGGGAAUAUUGCACAAUGGGCGCAAGCCUGAUGCAGCAACGCCGCGUGAGGGAAGACGGUUUUCGGAUUGUAAACCUCUGUCCCUGGUGAAGAAGAAAGUGACGUUAACCAGGGUAGGAAGCCACGGCUAACUACGUGCCAGCAGCCGCGGUAAUACGUAGGUGGCGAGCGUUGUCCGGAUUUACUGGGUGUAAAGGGAGCGCAGGCGGGACUGCAAGUUGGAUGUGAAAUACCGAGGCUUAACCUCGGAGCUGCAUCCAAAACUGCAGUUCUUGAGUGAAGUAGAGGUAGGCGGAAUUCCGAGUGUAGCGGUGAAAUGCGUAGAUAUUCGGAGGAACACCGGUGGCGAAGGCGGCCUACUGGGCUUUAACUGACGCUGAGGCUCGAAAGUGUGGGGAGCAAACAGGAUUAGAUACCCUGGUA
rnacentral:rRNA from 1 species